rnacentral:rRNA from 1 species
UACGGAGGGGGCUAGCGUUGUUCGGAAUUACUGGGCGUAAAGCGCACGUAGGCGGACUGUUAAGUCGGGGGUGAAAUCCUGGGGCUCAACCUCAGAAUUGCCUCCGAUACUGGCAGUCUCGAGUGCGGGAGAGGUGAGUGGAAUUCCCAGUGUAGAGGUGGAAAUUCGUAGAUAUUGGGAAGAACACCAGUGGCGAAAGGCGGCCUGCACUGGCC